GCGGGACUAGUUUAGUGGCAGAACAGCAGGUUUCCAACCUGUUAGUGGGGGUUCGAUUCCCCCGUCCCGCACCA
rnacentral:tRNA from 4 species